rnacentral:rRNA from 1 species
GUCCCAGCCGUAAACGAUGGACACUAGGUGUCGGGGGUAUCGACCCCUCCGGUGCCGCAGCUAACGCAUUAAGUGUCCCGCCUGGGGAGUACGGCCGCAAGGUUGAAACUCAAAGGAAUUGACGGGGGCCCGCACAAGCGGUGGAGCAUGUUGUUUAAUACGUCACUAACCGUAGAACCUUACCAGGGCUUGACAUCUCUGGACCGUCGGUGAAAGCCGGCUUCCCGCAGGGACUAGAAGACAGGUGUUGCAUGGCUGUCGU